rnacentral:rRNA from 1 species
AUUGAACGCUGGCGGCAGGCCUAACACAUGCAAGUCGAACGAGCGGCGGACGGGUGAGUAAUGUAUGGGGAUCUGCCCGAUAGAGGGGGAUAACUACUGGAAACGGUAGCUAAUACCGCAUACCAUCGGAUGUACCCAGAUGGGAUUAGCUAGUAGGUGGGGUAAAGGCUCACCUAGGCGACGAUCCCUAGCUGGUCUGAGAGGAUGAUCAGCCACACUGGAACUGAGACACGGCCCAGACUCCUACGGGAGGCAGCAGUGGGGAAUAUUGCACAAUGGGCGCAAGCCUGAUGCAGCCAUGCCGCGUGUGUGAAGAAGGCCUUCGGGUUGUAAAGUACUUUCAGCGGGGAGGCGUUACCCGCAGAAGAAGCACCGGCUAACUCCGUGCCAGCAGCCGCGGUAAUUC